rnacentral:tRNA from 1 species
ACUCUCUUAGUUUAUAAAAACAUUAAAUUGCAAAUUUAAUUUAUAAAUCUUUAAUGAUGGUG